GACGAACGCUGGCGGCGUGCUUAACACAUGCAAGUCGAACGAAGUGGCGAACGGGUGAGUAAAGCGUAAUCAACCUGCCGUUCAGAGGGGGACAACAGUUGGAAACGACUGCUAAUACCGCAUACUGAAGGCGGGGAUUGCGUCUGAUUAGCUAGCUGGAGGGGUAACGGCCUACCAAGGCGAUGAUCAGUAGCCUGUCUGGGGGGAUGAACGGCCAAAUUGGGACUGAGGAACUGCCCAGAAUUCUACGGGGGGCAGGAGGGGGGAAACUUCCGAAAUGGGCGGAAGUCUGACGGAGCAAAUCCGCGGUAUUGAUGACGGCCUUCGGGUUUGAAAGCUCUGUUAAUCGGGACGCGUUACCGGAAUAGAAAGCCACGGCUAACUACGUGCCAGCCGCCGCGGUAAUAC
rnacentral:rRNA from 1 species